AGACCUUUGGUGCUGCCACAGACUGGGUUCUUACACUGAGUGUAUAGAAAGAGGAAGCAAAGUAAGCCUACCAUAAACACCUCAGCCCAGGCCCUGUGCCUUGUCUAUAUUGGGGAGGUAGAAAGGUAG
rnacentral:snoRNA from 1 species